CUUGCAGCUCAAUUCUGCCAUAGAGUUUUAUUAGACAUUAUUCUAAAGAUCUUCCUACUCUAUCUCAACAUAAGGCAAACCAUUAUGAAACAGAAAAGGAGGAGAAGGAAGAGAGAAAAUGAGCUGUCUGUCUCGGCAAUUUGCCUCCCCUGACAAAGAUAGAAGUGCCUGGCUACUUCUCAGCAAAUGAAAAAAAGUCUAAAGGAAUGAGGUCACAAGAAUAGCUGGAUCAAAUGACCAUGAGACAAUUCUGUCCAAAUUUCGAUGUGGUAUUUAUAUAGUAUAUACGGUUGAGAAAUCUGAUUUGAAGGUGUGGAGAGCUCUGCACCACUUAUGCCUGAAAGUCUCUUAGGAAACUGCAUGCAAAAUUCAGAAGAGGACCAUAAAAAUUUCAAAGCCAGUCUUCAAGAGUUCUGACUGAUAUUACUACCAAGAAAUGGAAGGAUACAUGCUGUUGAUCAAGAAACAAGAUUAAAUUUUUAGCUAAAAUUAAGAGACUGUCAAAGCUCUACUAUAAAAAAAGAGUAAGACUAUAACAGCCUUGAACAGGACUAAAUCAGCUGAGUCAACUCAAGUGGGACUUAACAAAGAAAGACAGAUGGCCACUUAUUCUUAUUGACACAUGAAGUGUUUCUAAAACGUAUCUGAAUUUUCAUUUUCUUCAGAUAGGAUUAAGUUGCAAUUUUUUAAUGCUGUUGGAAGAAACAGAAAGUUCUGUCUAACAUAAGAAUGCCUUUCAAGGAAAAGUAAAGCCUUUGCAUGAACUUCUGAAAUGUCAGAUCUGUCAAGUAGAAGAUGAUAGAUGCAAUGCAAGCUUUGCUCUUGGUCUUACUAAAGAGUUUUUCACCAUUGAAUACAUUCUAAUUGUUUCUGCUGUCUCUAUGUUUCUAGAUUUUUGUUUUUAUUUUUAUUUUUUUAAACCCAGUACCAAAAGCACCUUUCCAGUCACAUUCCAUUAACACACAGAUUAAAAACCUUUGUUUCCACUUAGCAAGGCCAUGAAUUCUGGAGUCUUCAAGAGGUUCUCCUGUGCAACUGGUCCUACUCAUUUCACAGAAUGAGGGGGACCAGUGAGGUCAUUUCUCAUGUAUAAGAUAGGGAAGUGGGCACAUGCAGUGUAGUGUUUUGCCUCAGCAAAACAAUAGCUUGCUCUGUCCAAUAGGUAAAUAAUGCUCACAAUAAGUGAGAGAAUCUUCCUCUUUCAGUGUGACCACAGGAAUCUGAAGAUGGAUAUUCACAUUUCUACUCAUUCUGCACAUGUGACCACAAAGCAUAGUGAUCAGGCCUUUGCCUUAUACAAACAUUAUAAAAAAUAAUAAUAUUGCUUAUUUAACAAUGUUGAAACAUUAUCCUUGACUCCUGCCAUUAGAGCAUUUAAAAAUGAAAAAUGCUUUUGCAGUCUAAAAGUAGGAUCUAAAGAUCUUCUUAUACUUUUAAGGUUAAUCUGGAAAGGGUCUAAACCAGAAAUCUCAGUGGAGAACAAGGAAAGCUGUUCAAUAAAAGGCUCUGUAUUUUAGAUCACUGCUCUGCUUCCACUAGUAACUCUAAUGGAAAUGAAUUGAUCCUCCUGGAAGGACGUGUGUCUAUUAUUAACACAGUUACUUGUAUGUUUCUUUUUUCUCUGCUUUCAGAGGCAAAAGAUUAGAGGUCAUAAGAGGUCAUAGUACUUCUUCAUGUGGUGGUAUUUUCUUCUCCAUUUCUCCUGGGAAGAAUAACAAGCAAUUUUAACAAACCCUGCAGCUUCACAAUAUCUUAGAUUGCCUAACAUCUUAAUUGCUUUUGGUGAUGUUCAUGAGAGAGAAAGAGGAUGAAAUUCAAUCCAAAAUCCCAUUGAGUAUCAACAGAUGCAAGAAUCUGAACAGGAUGCAGGCUGCAGUUGGGCUCUGCCAGGACUCUAAGCCAAACACCCUGACUUGAAGAGUUCAUAAUCAGUCAAGAUCUGCAUCAAAAAUGUGCAGCUCAGAUCCACUUUUGGUUUGAAAUAGGCCAGGCCAUGUGCCAGAGGAUACAUACCUAAUUACCAGGCUGUUCUGAUUAUUACUUCUUCUGUACUUUUCCCAGUAAAUUUAGAAUAAAUUGUAUCUUUGGCAAAUUACACAAAGAGAUGAUUAUACAUUUAAUUGAAUGUUUACCUCUCAUUUUCUUCUUGUAAUGGUAACUGGUACAGAUUACAGGAAUUCAGAAUAAUUUUUCUAUAUAUCUACAUUUUCCCAGGGUUAGAUUCAGUGGAAAAAAAAGCAAAAACAACAACCACAACAAACAAACAAACAAACAACAAAAAAAACCCACCAAAACAAAACAGUAAGGGGUCUGGUUAGGGAAUAUUUAUACCAUAUUCAGCUCAUUUUCUUCCUUUAAUAUGAAAAUGAAUAGUAUCAAGGGAUAGUGUGUUGCCUAUUUGCAGUCCAUUGGAAAAUGCAUAUUAGACAGGGGAAAUACAUAAUUUAUUAAAUGUAUUGCUUAAGGUGAGAAACUUGAAAUUGAGUUUUGUAAGUCUGUGGAUUUUGGGUUAUAUGUUUGGCACAGGCUACUCAAUCUGCUAAAUUAUUCAGCACUAAACCUGCCAGUGGGAAUAACAAGAAAAUAGACAUGGAGUUUGAAAUGUAGUUUCAUUUUAUUGGAGAGGGGAAAAAAAAAAAAAAAAAAAAAAAAGGGUUACAAGUGAAGUAGCAACACUCAGAAAAGCUUUAUUCCCUCCUCAUUAAAGAACUGUUGACGUAUGACUGUAGCUUUUCCUAUUAAAGGAGUAUUUCUAUGCAUUCACUGGGAGUGGUGCUUCAACAAGAAUGUGUGUUAUACAUUAAAUGGCCACAAAUAUCAUUUACUUCCUAUUGUCAUCAUUUUAUUUCCAAAUAACCAAAAUGUUCAGGUGUGCGAUACAAGAAAAGAACCGAAGGCAUUCAAAGUACUGAUUUCUCUCAGAUGUUUGAGAUCAUCUUAAUAGGAAAACUCAUCUCUUAGGAUUACUCCUUCCCUACAAAAUCAGUUUGUAAUGUUAGGAAAGUACUUUGAUUUCCUUCAGAUUAUUCAAGAGCUGUACAAAUAGUAGUAAUUUUCUUUCUCAGGUUUUAGUGUAGUUAGAAGAAACAAGCCAAAUCUGUUCUUUUUGUUUGUUUGUUUGUUAUUCAAGCAUCAGGUUACCUAUUGUCUGGAAGAUUUCUUAAAUGUAUAAAGGAAAAUAUUUUUCCCUUCAGCCACCACAAAGAAACAACUGUUUCAAAAACUGAAAUAAAAACCAUUAUUUUGUCAAGUUCUACUUUUUUCAUCAUUAACAGGGAGCAUCUCCCCUUGAAAACAGCAGGCUUUUUCUCCUUAUCAUAUGAUUAAGAUAUCUUCAGUUAGGAAGAAUCAAAGAAACUAAGAGCACAGUCUAUCUUACUUAUGCUGAGUUUCAACAUUUCUCUGUUGGAAACAAUCUGUUAGCCUGGGGCAAAUAAGAAAUAUCUGAAUCUGAAAGCUUUUCUCUCCUGCCCAUCCCAUCUUCCCCUCACUCUACAAUAGACUGCCCACAAAUCUCACAAACCUUGACCACCACUUCAAAAACUAUCAAGAAGAAGACCUCUGUUUCUGCAGUUACUCAGCUAAGUAUAGUCUCCAAAAACUGGGAAAAUAAAAGUAGCAAAACACCAAGUCUAAUGAAUAAAAAGAAUAAUGGAAAAAUUCACAGAUCCUUUGAAGUAUGAGGAAUGUUCCUCAAUGAUCAGGGUCUGUCAUGAUCAGAAUUCUCCACUUGGAAGUGCAGGCAGAAUGGUGCUCCAAAACAACACUGCACUAAAGUACAGGGCAGAACAAGUAAAAAUUUUACUAAAACAAACAAAACACUGAAGCACAGUGAAAGAGCCAUCAUGGUGGAUUUGCAUGUGGACACUGAAAGUGAACACAACAAAUGUUUCCAAAUGUAGGAUCUGUUGUGCGACCAGCAUCUAACGUGGUGACAGGGAUAGUCAAGAAAGGGAAUAUAGUAUGCUGCUGAAUUUUAAAUCUGCCCAUUUCAUCAUUAGAAAGCUUUUCUUAUCCUUGGAUAAAACUGAAUGUCUUCUCAGAUGUCUAUGUAAGAUAGUGUCAAUAUGCUCAUUCAAUCAGCACAAAGUAAAAACUGAUUUCAGAAUGGUCACUUCCUUAAACCACAGGAAAUAAUUGAUUUGCACAAUGAGAUGGAUUUUUUUUUCUUUUACUUUUGUAUGUGUAUGCUUUCUCUGAACCACCUUUUUGACAUUUUGUUUAAUAUUUCAUAAAUUCUUUCAGCAAUUUGUUGAUAUAGAGCACAGUAACAGCAAUCAAUAAGACGCUGCUUAUUUUAUUUGUUUUUUGUCUGAUUAAUUCUUAUAACAAAAGGAAAGUUGUCAGGCCUGGAAAAUGCACAUUUACAGAUUAAAAAGGCUGUGGAAAACUUCUAGAUUUGUCCAAGGUAAGAGAUUCUAUCUAGUGAGGAGGAGAAAGAAAGACAAACACAGAACAAUUUAAGACUAGCAUCUAAACAUCAGUUUAGUCAACAGGUUUAUCUUAUUUGGAAUAAAAUAUUCUGCUCUCUUAAUACAAGCAAAUAGAAGCCAGCAUUUGUCAUAUUCAGCUUCUGAAGGCUCCUUUUGUUCAGGAGUAUAAAACAAAUACUUAACUUGAUGACCACAGGUCAGAAUUAUGAAACAACAAACACAAAUUGGAUUUAUUUAUUUAUUUAUUUAUUUAUUCCUCAGGAGGACUUGAGAAACAUCCCAAAGCUGACUAGUAACUCUGUUCUCUCUCUCUGACUCUUCUCCUGUCUGCAAAGGGCUCUAAAACAUUUGUCAGAUGCAAAUAAAAAACGGGUAGGGAAGGUGUGGCUAUCUAGAGGAAAAUGGAUAUCUAACACUUUAAAGGAAACAAAGGGGGAGUUGGAGAAGCAUAAAUUAUGAGCCACUGAAUUCAUCUGGAGCCUUUCUUUGGAUGAGAACCAUCACCAUGAUGAUGAUGAAAUGUAGAGUUCUCAUCUCUUGCAGAAACUGUUUGUUUGACUUAAAACCCAGCCUCUGUGCUCAAGCCCUUUUCUCCCAGACUGGGCUGAAUUCAGACUGCACUUCAGCUGGGACACCUGAGCUGAAAUUCAACCUAUGCAGCAAACUCUGCUUAUUGAGGCAGAUACUCCACUUAAAAUUCAAGCAUCAUGUGGAUGGACUCUGUCCAACUCUCAUUUGAAUCCAACUGACUGGAAUCAAAUUCAUCCAUCUACUCCUACAGCUCUGUGGCAGUCUGGCAACACUUGUGAACUCAGGGGAUCAUUUUAAACAUACUUGGCUCAGGUACACAUGGUUACAAAAGAGACUAGACAGAGUAGUGUGAUCUACCCAGCAUGAUCAUUUUAAGGUAGAGUCAGACUUGUAAAGCUUUACUUUCCCAUAUGUAGCCCUCCUGCUAUGUGCAGCAGUAAGAGCAGGGACUGAGCAGCAGACAACAGCUUGCAUUUGUCACAGGAAUUUAUCCAGUGUGUUUCCUGUUCUGUAGAAGAUGAAAUAAUUCACUUGGACUUCCCUGUCUGUUUCAUGACACUACAAAAGGCAGAAUUGAUAUGGAAACAGGGUGCUUAUGUGCAAAAUGGAAUCAGAGUUGUGUACUUCCACAGUCUUUUCCAAAUACAAGAGAUUGGUGUUGUGUUUUGUUUUGUUUUGCUUAAUUAAGAAAUAAAG